GACAUUUGCGAGCCGGGGGGGCAUCGCUCCGCAGUGCCCGGCUCACAAAGAAGGACGGUGCCACGGGCAGGCAAGCAGAGGCAGCACGGAAACGCUCCUCCUGACAGCGAAUUUUUCCCAAAAAUUAAAAAAAAAAAAAAAAAAAAGCCACGAACGCCCGAGUUACUCACGAAUAACCAUGGCAAUGCGCGCAUCGAGCGAGAUGGAGAGAUUCAUGCAAGCGCGGCGGCUCCGCUUCCCCAGCUCUCUCCGGGAAAUGGUAGCGGUGCCAUCAAAGGCGAGGCUCUCCCCCCCAAAAAAAAAACGGGGCUGGCAGCCCAGGGAGCUGCACCCAAACUCCCCGCAACAGCCGCAGAAAGGAGCCGGGGUCGCGGCCGCCCCCCGGGCCCCUCCCCGGGCCCGCGGGGGCCCCGCCCCCCCCCCCCCCGCCGCCCAUUUCCUCGCCCCCGCUUUGCCGCUGGCUGCGGGCAGCCAAGUUCAGCCCCGGAGCCCCCCGCACACCCGCAGCGCUCCCCUCCCGCACCGCCAGCACCUUGCGGCGGGGCCCCGGGGAACAAAAGCCCGGUGCUGGGGGGCUCCCCCCGCUGCCUUACCCGGCCGCCCGCUCCUCCUCCACCUCCUCGGCGGCUCUGCGGAGAGCUGACGGCAGCCGCCAGCCGCCCCAACGCCAUUGCAGGCGGCCGGGGCCGCCGAGCGGGGGGGGGAGGAAGAGGAGGAGGAGGAGGAAGGAGGAGGAGGAGGAGAAGCCGCCGCGCCCCGCCGCAGCCGCCCCCUUCCCUCCCUGCCUCCCUCCGCCUGGCACGGCUCGGCCCGGCCGCUGACAGGUGCCUCACCUCCGGGGCUAGGGAGAAAGAGCGAGGCAGCAGGCGGCCGGCAGCCCUGCCGGGUGGGCACCGCCGCCCUCAGCUCCCCCCCCCCCGGCCAGGCUCGGAGCCGGGGUGCGCAGGGCGAGGAGGGGAAGGCUGCGGGGCGGGAGGGGCGGCUGUGGAGCCGGCCGCCUUCCCUCGCCGCUGCGCCCAGCCAGCCACUGAACCCUGCCGACACGCAGGGGAAAUGCGGCCGCAGCGCUCAGCAGCUGCUGGAGGGGACAAGGGGGACGUGGGGGGACCGGGCAACUCACAGCUGGCGGCACCACCGGCCCCAUAA
rnacentral:lncRNA from 1 species